AGACGGCCGGACAGCCGCGCCUUGGCUUGACCAUGGUGAGGAAAGUCCGGGCAUCAGGGGAACAGGACACCGGAUAACAUCCGGCCGCGGGUAACCCGAGGGAAAGUGCCACAGAGAUAUACCGCCGAACGUUCGCGUUUGGUAAGGGUGAAAAGGCGAGGUAAGAGCUCACCGCGGAUAUGGCAACAUAGCCGGCAAGGUAAACCCUGUCUGAUGCAAGACCAAGUGAGGGGCGUCAAGGUGCCGAUUUUCGACAAACCGGACGAAACGGAGUGUUCUCCCUCCGCUCCAGAGGUAGGUCGCGUUGAGCCGGUUAGCAAUAAUCGGCCUAGAUGAAUGGCUGUCAGUUUGAGCUUGCUCAAAAUUACAGAACCCGGCUUAUAGGCCGUCUUA
rnacentral:RNase_P_RNA from 1 species